GUUUCACGAGUGAGUGAGAGCUCCAGGUUCGAACCUGUAAUAAAGAUCCUUGCUGCUUGGCUUUGACUCUGGACUCUGGUGGUCUUCUUCGGGGAAUAAACGGUCUGGGCAUAACAGCACAACAGCAAAAGUAGUGCUGAAAUAGAGAAAUUGGACAAAACUUGUUAAAUCCUAUGUUUUCCUUCAAGUGAAAUAUCAGAAAGGAUAGAAAACAGCAAUGUAUGCAAUAACUCAAAAGACAUAUUUUCUAGAAGAUUGUGGUACUCAGCAGAAGGAAAAUUUUUAAAAUCAAAUGUCGUUCAGUGGAUAUUAAAGAAUCUCCUUUACCAUGAAGGCACAGAUUAACUCUGGCUAAUGGCAAUAUUAUUUAUGCAAUAAGAAAAAGGAAUAUUUUGAUUUCUAAAGGCAAGUUGAAUCUAGUGACUCAUUAAAUAAGGAAGCAUGCAAAUAAUUUCACAGCAAUGAG